rnacentral:tRNA from 1 species
GAUGGCGGAAUUGGCAGACGCGCUGGAUUUAGGAUCCAGUUCCUUACGGAGUGGAGGUUCAAAUCCUCUCAUCCCCA